AAAACGACUCUCGGCAACGGAUAUCUCGGCUCACGCAUCGAUGAAGAACGUARCAAAAUGCGAUACUUGGUGUGAAUUGCAGAAUCCCGUGAACCAUCGAGUUUUUGAACGCAAGUUGCGCCCGAAGCCAUUUNGUUGAGGGCACAUCUGCCUGGGCGUCACG
rnacentral:rRNA from 1 species